GACGAACGCUGGUGGCGUGCUUAACACAUGCCAGUCGAACGGGAUUUAGUAGACAGAAGCCUCGGCUAAAGAUUACUAAUGAGAGUGGCGAACGGGUGAGUAACGCGUGAGCAACCUGCCUAUGACAGUGGGAUAGCCUCGGGAAACCGGGAUUAAUACCGCAUAAAAUCGUAGAAACACAUGUUUUAACGGUCAAAGAUUUAUCGGUCAUAGAUGGGCUCGCGUCUGAUUAGCUAGUUGGUGAGAUAACAGCCCACCAAGGCGACGAUCAGUAGCCGGUCUGAGAGGAUGAACGGCCACAUUGGAACUGAGACACGGUCCAAACUCCUACGGGAGGCAGCAGUGGGGAAUAUUGCACAAUGGGGGAAACCCUGAUGCAGCGACGCCGCGUGAACGAAGAAGGUAUUCGUAUCGUAAAGUUCUGUCCUAUGGGAAGAUAAUGACAGUACCAUAGAAGAAAGCUCCGGCUAAAUACGUG
rnacentral:rRNA from 1 species